rnacentral:misc_RNA from 1 species
GAUGAAGAACGUAGUGAAAUGCGAUAACUAAUGUGAAUUGCAGAAUUCAGUGAAUCAUCGAGUCUUUGAACGCACAUUGCGCCCCCUGGUAUUCCGGGGGGCAUGCCUGUCCGAGCGUCAUUGCUGCCCUCAAGCACGGCUUGUGUGUUGGGCCUCCGUCCUCCUCCCGGGGGACGGGCCCGAAAGGCAGCGGCGGCACCGCGUCCGGUCCUCGAGCGUAUGGGGCUUCGUCACCCGCUCUUGUAGGCCCGGCCGGCGCUUGCCGACACAUCAAUCUUUUUUCCAGGUUGACCUCGGAUCAGGUAGGGAUACCCGCUGAACUUAAGCAUAUCAAUAAGCGGAGGA